rnacentral:rRNA from 1 species
GGAUUAGAUACCCUGGUAGUCCACGCCGUAAACGAUGUCUACUAGCCGUUGGGAGGCUUGACCUUUUAGUGGCGAAGCUAACGCGAUAAGUAGACCGCCUGGGGAGUACGGUCGCAAGAUUAAAACUCAAAUGAAUUGACGGGGGCCCGCACAAGCGGUGGAGCAUGUGGUUUAAUUCGAUGCAACGCGAAAAACCUUACCAGGCCUUGACAUCCAGAGAACUUACCAGAGAUGGUUUGGUGCCUUCGGGAACUCUGAGACAGGUGUUGCAUGGCUGUCGUCAGCUCGUGCCG